rnacentral:piRNA from 1 species
AGGGAUACAUGCAGGCAGAACACUA